UGGAUGUUUCGACAAGAGUUUAGACUUCUCGAAGUCUGACGGAACUAAAGUGAUGGUGGACAACAAAUUCUUGAAGGCCAACAAUCCCUUACUUUUAAUAAACUUCUAUGAGAAACAUCUACGGUACAGUCCCACAUGAUAAGUGGGUCGACGGCUGGAGGAUGGAUGCCACAUCGUUUUCUCUGGUUUUCUUCGUGUAUAGAUUGUUGUAAUUUUGUAGCUAAAGGUCAAAAGUGCGAGGUAAGUACUGAUAUGUUCUAUAGGGAUGCUGCUGAUAAAUAGUGUCAAGCUCAACUGUUCCUUUGCGGCUUGUUUGAUAAGAUGGUUUUGUACAGUAUUGGACAGUAUUAAGGACGAAAAAGAGGCAAGAAAAUUUUGUCUAUCGUAUUGUUUAGUCUUGUGCUGUCCAAUACUGUGUACCAAAAAUACAUUUGUAUUGGACAUUUUUUACUUUUUUACUGUUACGUAUUUAUCUAGACGUGGUUUAAGUAAAAUUAAAGCUGAAA